rnacentral:lncRNA from 1 species
CCAGGCUGCGGCCGAGCCCCGAACGAGAGCUCUCCCCUCACCGCAGGAGAACGGGAGGCCCAAACUGGAGCUGGUGCCCAACUCGGGCGUCUACAUCACCCACCCGCAGCUAGACGACCUCUCGCAGGUCUCCACGGACAAGCCCAAGCUCAUGACGCGGCGGCUCCUCGACUACUUCUUCUCCCGGGAGACGCUGGCCCGGUCCUCGGCCACAGGGCAGCGCAUCGCCCACAACAACACCCCCAUGGAGCGGCCGCGGCCCGUCCGCCUCCCGGUCGCCGUGGUCAAUGCUAUCAAAGAGUACGUCACCAAGAUGUGCGGCCGCGGCUGCAACUUCAACGCCGUCAUCAACAGCAAGUGCGGCACAUCCCGGCGGGCUGUCAAGAAGAUGGUCGUGAAGAUGGACUGAGCCAGGACCCUGGGACGGCCCCGGCCCUCCAGGCGGCUCAGCCAGCAGGAGGGACGAGUCCUCCGGUGCAGCUGCUGCCGAGAGGGGAUGGGGAGGGAUGUGCUCUCCCUCCGCUGCUCGCACAGUGCCAGCGCAGGGGACCCUUCCCACCUUCCGGGCCAGCAGAAACCGUAGCGAGUGACAUCUCCCCAGCUGGCCCAGCCCCGCAUCCCCAUUGCCGAAGGACCCAGAUCCAGGUGCUGCUGGCACCUCCAUCGUCCGUGGGGAGCAGGGGCUGGCAGGGCCGGAGGGCAGUUGGAGCAGGGCGCUCCAGGGCUCCCACGUCUUACCAGCUGGGGACGGAGGCGGCGUCCUGGUGCUGGAGCAAGCGGUGUCCCCCGGAGCACGGAGGCAGGGCUGGGGUCUGGGCAGCGGAGCUGUCCUCGGCUUGCUGGAGCUCCCCGCGUUCAGCCACAGCCCCGGACUACUCUCUUGUAAAGCAGUUCGGUUCCAACGGAUACUUGGUUCCCCGUCAAUAAA